rnacentral:rRNA from 1 species
UGCAGUCGAGCGGCAGCACAAGGGAGUUUACUCCUGAGGUGGCGAGCGGCGGACGGGUGAGUAAUGCCUAGGGAUCUGCCCAGUCGAGGGGGAUAACAGUUGGAAACGACUGCUAAUACCGCAUACGCCCUACGGGGGAAAGGAGGGGACCUUCGGGCCUUCCGCGAUUGGAUGAACCUAGGUGGGAUUAGCUAGUUGGUGAGGUAAUGGCUCACCAAGGCGACGAUCCCUAGCUGUUCUGAGAGGAUGAUCAGC